rnacentral:rRNA from 1 species
UACAGAGGGUGCGAGCGUUAAUCGGAAUUACUGGGCGUAAAGCGCGCGUAGGCGGCUUUGCAAGUCGGGUGUGAAAUCCCCAGGCUUAACCUGGGAACUGCAUUCGAGACUGCAUUGCUAGAGUAUGGGAGAGGGAAGUGGAAUUUCCGGUGUAGCGGUGAAAUGCGUAGAUAUCAGGAGGAACACCGGUGGCGAAGGCGGGUCUCUGGGCAGUAACUGACGCUGAGGAGCGAAAGCGUGGGGAGCGAACAGG